rnacentral:rRNA from 1 species
GACGAACCGUGCGAACGUUGUUCGGAAUCGCUGGGCUUAAAGGGCGCGUAGGCGGGCUGCCAAGUCUGGGGUGAAAUCCCACGGCUCAACCGUGGAACUGCCUCGGAUACUGGCGGCCUCGAGGGAGGUAGGGGCGUGCGGAACUGUGGGUGGAGCGGUGAAAUGCGUUGAUAUCCACAGGAACUCCGGUGGCGAAGGCGGCACGCUGGACCUCUUCUGACGCUGAGGCGCGAAAGCCAGGGGAGCAAACGGG